rnacentral:tRNA from 1 species
GAGCCGUUAGCUCAGAUGGUAGAGCAUCUGACUUUUAAUCAGAGGGUCGCUGGUUCGAACCCAGCACGGCUCA